rnacentral:rRNA from 1 species
GAUGAACGCUAGCGGCAGGCCUAAUACAUGCAAGUCGGACGGGAUCCAUUGAUAGCUUGCUAUCAAUGGUGAGAGUGGCGCACGGGUGCGUAACGCGUGAGCAACCUGCCUCCAUCAGGGGGAUAGCCUCUCGAAAGAGAGAUUAACACCGCAUAAUAUCAACAGUUCGCAUGUUCAGUUGAUUAAAUAUUUAUAGGAUGGAGAUGGGCUCGCGUGACAUUAGCUAGUUGGUAGGGUAACGGCUUACCAAGGCGACGAUGUCUAGGGGCUCUGAGAGGAGAAUCCCCCACACUGGUACUGAGACACGGACCAGACUCCUACGGGAGGCAGCAGUAAGGAAUAUUGGUCAAGGGGCGGAAGCCUGAACCAGCCAUGCCGCGUGCAGGAUGACUGCCCUAUGGGUUGUAAACUGCUUUUGUCCAGGAAUAAACCUAAAUACGAGUAUUUAGCUGAAUGUACUGGAAGAAUAAGGAUCGGCUAACUCCGUG